UACAGAGGUCCCGAGCGUUGUUCGGAUUCACUGGGCGUAAAGGGUGCGUAGGUGGCUUGAAAAGUUUGAUGUGAAAGCUCAGGGCUCAACCCUGAAAUGGCAUUGAAUACUGUCGAGCCGGAGGUUUGGAGGGGGGACUGGAAUUCUUGGUGUAGCAGUGAAAUGCGUAGAUAUCAAGAGGAACACCAGUGGCGAAGGCGAGUCCCUGGACAACACCUGACACUGAGGCACGAAAGCUAGGGGAGCAAACAGG
rnacentral:rRNA from 1 species